rnacentral:rRNA from 1 species
GAUGAACGCUGGCGGUGUGCUUAAUACAUGCAAGUCGAACGAGGAGCUAUUGUCUUCGGAUGAAAGCUUCCUAGUGGCGAACGGGUGAGUAACGCGUUGGUGACCUGCCCCGAAGAGAGGGAUAACAGAUCGAAAGGUCUGCUAAUACCGCAUGAGGUCGUUGAGGCUAGAGGCUUGGCGACGAAAGGAGUAAUCCGCUUUGGGAGGGGCCUGCGUCCCAUCAGCUAGUUGGUAGGGUAAUGGCCUACCAAGGCUUCGACGGGUAGGGGGCCUGAGAGGGUCGGCCCCCCACACUGGCACUGAAACACGGGCCAGACACCUACGGGAGGCAG